GGUCUGAUGGGCGAGUGGCUUAACCAACGGUCUGCAAAACCGUCUACAGCGGUUCGAAUCCGCUUCAGACCU
rnacentral:tRNA from 2 species